UUUGAAAAAGAAUGAAGGACUUUGGCCCCUCAUAUUGAUCAUUCAUUUUGUUUUUAAGUGCUCUCCACCUGCCUGAAGCAAGAACAGCUCUUUUAGAGGCAGGUUGAUCUGUUCCAGCUGCAGGUGAACACCCUACGACGUUAUAAACGACACUACAAGUUGCAGACCAGACCAGGCUUCAAUAAGGCCCAGUUAGCAGAAACUGUGAGUCGACACUUCAGGAACAUACCUGUGAAUGAAAAAGAGACCCUUGCCUACUUCAUCUACAUGGUGAAGAGUAACAAGAGUAGACUGGACCAGAAAUCGGAGGGUGGCAAGCAGCUUGAGUGAGGAUGAAGCACAUCUUAAAGGAAUGAAGUGUAAUGCUUGAUGCACAGGUGAUAUCUGCUACAUUUAAGCCCAUAAAGACUGUUAAAUAUUAUUGUAAAUAAAAAAGUUUGAAUGAUGAAUA
rnacentral:sRNA from 1 species